AUUUAUUUGUUUAUGUAAUUAUUUUCUUUCAAAAGUAGCUAGCUUAUUAAAUGUUUGUAUACAGUAAAUAAAUCAUUGAAUGAAUAUUAAAUAUGAUAUGAAUAUAAAUAUGAUAAUUAAUUGAAGGAUAAUUUAUUAUCUAAAUAUAAUACUUAUUAAAUAAAUUGUUAAGGAUUAUAUUUUUGAUUUUUAAAUGUAUAUUAAUAAAAAGACAGACUUUGUAUGAUAAGUAAGCCAUUGUUGUAGGUGAAAAGUUAGGAAGGUAAGAUAUAGAGGGGAAUUCAAUUUAUAUUUGUAUGAAAUGAUUAUGUAUUACUAAUGAAAACUGAUUCUGAGUGGAAUUUCGGUUAUACAUGUUUAAAAGACCAUA